AUUGAACGCUGGCGGCAGGCUUAACACAUGCAAGUCGAGCGAGCGGCGGACGGGUGAGUAAUGUCUGGGAAACUGCCUGAUGGAGGGGGAUAACUACUGGAAACGGUAGCUAAUCCCGCAUACCAUCAGAUGUGCCCAGAGGGGAUUAGCUAGUAGGGGGGGUAAGGGCUCACCUGGGUGACGAUCCCUAGCUGGUUUGAUAGGAUGACCAGCCACUCUGGAACUGAGACACGGUCCAGACUCCUACGGGAGGCAGCAGUGGGGAAUAUUGCACAAUGGGCGCAAGCCUGAUGCAGCCAUGCCGCGUGUGUGAAGAAGGCCUUCGGGUUGUAAAGCACUUUCAUCGAGGAGGCGUUACUCGCAGAAGAAGCACCGGCUAACUCCGUGCCAGCAGCCGCGGUAAUUC
rnacentral:rRNA from 1 species